rnacentral:siRNA from 1 species
UCGAUGGUCUGACGAUUCUGAGC